rnacentral:rRNA from 1 species
AUUGAACGCUGGCGGCAGGCCUAACACAUGCAAGUCGAACGAGUGGCGGACGGGUGAGUAAUGUCUGGGAAACUGCCUGAUGGAGCGGGAUAACUACUGGAAACGGUAGCUAAUACUGCAUACCACCAGCUCUGCCCAGAUGGGAUUAGCUUGGUGGUGGGGUAACGGCUCACAAAGGCGCCGAUCCCUAGCUGGUCGGAGAGGAUGACAAGCCACACUGGAACUGAGACAGGGUCCAGACUCCGACGGGAGGCAGCAGUGGGGAAUAUUGCACAAUGGGCGCAAGCCUGAUGCAGCCAUGCCGCGUGUAUGAAGAAGGCCUUCGGGUUGGAAAGUACUUUCGGCAGGGAAGCGUUACCCGCAGAAGAAGCACCGGCUAACUCCGUGCCAGCAGCCGCGGUAAUUC